UACGUAGGGUGCGAGCGUUAAUCGGAAUUACUGGGCGUAAAGGGUGCGUAGGCGGUCCGCUAAGUUGGAUGUGAAAACUCUGGGCUUAACCCAGAGCCUGCAUUCAAAACUGACGGGCUAGAGUUCUGGAGGGGGUAGCGGAAUUCCUGGUGUAGCGGUGAAAUGCGUAGAGACCCGGAGGAACACCAGUGGCGAAGGCGGCUUCCUGGUCUGCAACUGACGGCUGUGGCGCGAAAGCUAGGGGAGCAAAUGGGACUUAGAAACCC
rnacentral:rRNA from 1 species